CCGCAAUUCCCGUCACGGAGUGCGUCCUCUAGCGCGGGGCGGAAGACCCGCGAAGUGUUCAAGCGGCCGCAGAGCGGCCCAGAGUUCGCAGGUCUGGGGCUCUCUUCCCAGAGAGCUCGUAGGGGAGGACAGUCAAGGGACUCAAGCGUCUCUCUUGACUCCCCUUCUCUCGCUGUGCAGUGGCGGCGCCGAGGGGUCGACGCUCAGGGCUAAUCUCUAUGAGUCACCCUCGAGGCCCCGGGUAAUAUUGGGUGGAUCACAAGAACUAAUCUUUCAUGAUUUGGAAACCGGAAGGAAAGAAGCACUUUUGUAGCUGACUUACCUCAAUGACAUGACCAGUGUCUGAGCCUACAACUGCGCUAUCUUCCCUGGAUUUUUCUUCACCUUUUCCUUACUCAUGAGCCAGAUGGAGCUAAGAUUGGAACUGAGGUCUGGCUAUAAAGCUGCCUUUAUGUCCAUCGCAUCCUAAGGGCUGCUGUUGCUCUUCUGCCUCUACACUGAUGGACUACGUCAGAACAUCAAUAUGCUGUAUUGAUGAUAAUGGAUGAUAUUUUCUUAGUUGUGCCAAUAUUACUCUUGAGGGAAGAAAUGAUGCCAAGCACUUAAAAAAUAUUGUGCCACUUCCUUCUGGCCUCCAUGGUUUGAGAUGGAGAACUCUGCUGUCACCCUCAUUGAUCUUUCCCUUCACACCAAUGCCAAUUCCAGACUAACAUCCUGAAGCUCCAGUUUUGAGGGGUGCAAGCUGCAAGACUGAUAUCAACAUCCACCAAAUACCACUGAUGAGUGGCAAGUAUUAAAAAAACACAGAAAAUCCCACAGCAUGUUGUGGGUUGAAUUAUGCUUCUUCCCUCCCCAGAAGAGGGCUUUCAGAACUAAGGCUGCACACCUAUGACCAUCUGAUCUUCAACAAAGCUGACAAAAACAAGCAACGGGGAAAGGACUUCCUAAUCAAUAAAUGGUGCUGGGAUAACUGGCUAGCCAUGUGCAGAAGAUUGAAGCUGAACCCCUUCCUUGCGCUAUAUAUGAAAAUCAGCUCAAGAUAGAUUAAAGAGUUAAAUGUGAAAUCCAAAACUAUAAAAACCCUGGAAGACAACCUAGGCAAUACCAUCCUGGACACAGGAACAGGCAAACAUUUCAUGACAAAUACACCAAAAGAAAUUGCAACAAAAGCAAAAAUUGACAAAUGGGAUCUAAUUCAACUUAAGAGCUUCUGCACAGCAAAAGAAACUAUCAGAGUAAAGAGUCAAUCUACAGAAUGGGAGAAAAUUUUUACAAACUACGCAUCAGAAAAAAGUCUAAUAUCCAGCAUCUAUAAGGAAUUAAACAAAUUUACAAGAGAAAAAUAAAUAUCCCCAUUACAAAGUGGGCAAAGUUCAUGAACAGACACUUCUCAAAAGAAGACAUACAUGUGGUCAACAAGCAUCUGAAAAAAUCCAAUAUCACUGAUCAUUAGAGAAAUGCAAAUCAAAACCACAAUGAGAUACCAUCUGACACCAGUCAGAAUGGCUAUUAUAAAAAGUUAAACAAACAAACAAAAAACAACCCAACAGAUGCUUGUGAGGUUGCAGAGAAAUGGGAACACUUAUACACUGUUGGUGGGAGUGUAAAUUAGUUCAGUCAUCGUGGAAAGCAGUAUGGCAAUUCCUCAAAGAACUAAAAACAGAACUACCAUUCAACCCAGCAAUCCCAUUACUGGGUACAUACCCAAAGGAGUAUAAAUCAUUCUACCAUAAAGACACAUACACAUGUAUGUUCACUGCAGCACUAUUCACAAUAGCAAAGACAUGCAAUCAACUUAAAUGCCCAUCAAUGACAGACUGGAUAAGGAAAAUGUGGCACAUAUACACCAUGGAAUAUGAUGCAGCCGUAAAAAAGAACAAGACCAUGUCUUUUAUGGGAACAUGAGUGGAGAUGGAGGCUAUUAGCCUUAGCAAACUAACAAAGGAACAGAAAACCAAAUACCACAUGUUCUCACUUAUAGGUGGAAGCUAAAUGAUGAGAACUCAUGAACACGAGGAAGGGAAAAACAGACACUGGGGUCUACUGGAGGGUGGAGGGUAGGAGAAGGGAGAGGAGCAGAAAGAUAACUAUUGGGUACUGGGCUUAAUAACUGGGUAAUGAAAUAAUCUGUACAACAAACCCCUGUGACAGAAGUUUACCUGUAUAACAAACCUUCACAUGUACUCUUGAACCUAAAAUAAAAGUUAAAAAUGAACACAAAAUUGUUCUUUCCAUCAAAAAGUAGGGCUUUUAGAAAUGCAUAAUAUAAUGAAGUUUUUAAUCAAAUAUGUCAAUAACAACAUCAAUAUGCAUAUCCUGUUGAAUUAUAAUGAAAGCACAUCCAAUUCAAUUAUGAAAACCUAUACAUUUUUAUUUUGCUUCUUUAAUAUAAAAAUAUCUAGGUCGGGCGUG
rnacentral:lncRNA from 10 species